AAGCAAGAAAAACUAUAAGGAAAAAGUGGCUUCCCAAGUAUCGUACUGAAUAAAAGUCACUUAUUGAGGGCAGAACAAAUAAUGCAUAGUGCAUUUUUUUCAGGAAUUAUUAUUUCAAUGGUUUCUUGUGCCACUUAAAACCUCCUGAGUAAGUUAAAUACGAAUCAUAUGAGAUAUUGACUAGAUGAAAUUUUCCACUCAGAGGAUUGAAGCUGCGGGAACACCCUCAGAGAUUCACUCAUGGAGAUAAAAAAUACUUAUAUCUUGAAGAACAUGAAGAGCAAUACAAAACAGAGCACAAAACCACAGUUUUUCUCAUCUGCUACAAUCAGAAAGUCAAAGCUGAGAGUGCCUGAGGCUUCUGUUCGUGGUCUUCUACAUCCAGUGAAUUAGCAAAAAGGACUCCACAGAAAGGACCUUCUUUCUAUCUCAGCAAAGAGGAAGGAAAAUUUCCUCCUAACCUAGCAACAGGUCAGCCAAAGAGAAAUGCUCCAGCUCAGCUGAUGAGAAGCCAUCACCACUCUGAACUCUUGCCUUCCUCCAAUGAACUUCCAUUUAAAACAGCCCUUCCCAAUUUUCUCCUAAAACCUGAUAUAAAAGUUAACCUGCUCUUUGUCUCUCUGGACUUGCCUAUGGCUGCCAUAGCUUACUUGCUCUGAAUUGCAAUUCUCUGCUAUUCCCGAAUAAACUCAUUUUGC